UUUCGGACAGUUUUUCCUCAGAUAAAGAAGUGAGAAACAAAAUGAGCAGUGUAAUUCAAGUCUCUCUUACUCCAGGCUCAUGGUUGUCCAAGGUACCCAAUUCUUGGCCUACUCUGCAAAUCAUGUCUUCGUGCCAAUAGAGGAGGGGUAAAACUUUGAUUUUGAUCCAGAAAGGAUUCAUGGAGGGAAAAGAGGGGGAGAUGAUCGGUUCCCACCACUGGAGGAUGACCAUCCAGUAGGAGAAAUGAUCUGAACCGACAGCUCUACCUUAAAAAUUCCAUUUGCACGGAAGAGGUGGAAUGAGAGCUCACAUCUUCUGUUCAUGUGGUUUAGUGAGCCUUCCUAUAAGGGAGCCAUUGAAACCAAAAAUGAAGUACGUUUCCAACCGGUCUGCAAGUAGUGGCAAGAAAAAACCUUGCUGGAGGAGUUACUAGUCGACUCCUUGCAGAUUUGCUUGCUGAUGUCACUGAAACGAAGUGGAAAGCAAA